UACGUAUGGUGCAAGCGUUAUCCGGAUUUACUGGGUGUAAAGGGAGCGCAGGCGGCACGGCAAGCCUGAUGUGAAAGCCCGCGGCCCAACCGCGGGACUGCAUUGGGAACUACCGGGCUGGAGUGCCGGAGAGGUAGGCGGAAUUCCUAGUGUAACGGUGAAAUGCGUAGAUAUUAGGAGGAACACCAGUGGCGAAGGCGGCCUACUGGACGGUGACUGACGCUGAGGCUCGAAAGCGUGGGGAGCAAACAGG
rnacentral:rRNA from 1 species